rnacentral:rRNA from 1 species
GACGAACGCUGGCGGCGUGCUUAACACAUGCAAGUCGAACGAUGAAGCUGGAGCUUGCUCCGGUGGAUUAGUGGCGAACGGGUGAGUAACACGUGAGCAAUCUGCCCUUGACUCUGGGAUAACUGCGGGAAACUGUAGCUAAUACCGGAUACGAAACCUUGGGGCAUCCUAAGGUUUGGAAAGAAUUUCGGUCAAGGAUGAGCUCGCGGCCUAUCAGCUAGUUGGUGAGGUAAUGGCUCACCAAGGCGACGACGGGUAGCCGGCCUGAGAGGGUGACCGGCCACACUGGAACUGAGACACGGUCCAGACUCCUACGGGAGGCAGCAGUGGGGAAUAUUGCACAAUGGGCGAAAGCCUGAUGCAGCAACGCCGCGUGAGGGAUGAA